rnacentral:ncRNA from 1 species
AAAUAGAGGAGCGGACGAACAUGAGUACCCGCCGCGAAGACAAAACGGGAAGGUUUUGUCGAGGCGCGAGGCGGACGGAAAGGGUAUCUCCGCCGAAGCGCGGCGCCUUCCCCCCGCGCUGGGCAUACGGGAGAAGACCCGUGUGACUGUCACCGUCCGUGAAGCGCUAUUU